rnacentral:rRNA from 1 species
CUAAUACAUGCAAGUCGAGCGAAUGGAUUAAGAGCUUGCUCUUAUGAAGUUAGCGGCGGACGGGUGAGUAACACGUGGGUAACCUGCCCAUAAGACUGGGAUAACUCCGGGAAACCGGGGCUAAUACCGGAUAACAUUUUGAACCGCAUGGUUCGAAAUUGAAAGGCGGCUUCGGCUGUCACUUAUGGAUGGACCCGCGUCGCAUUAGCUAGUUGGUGAGGUAACGGCUCACCAAGGCAACGAUGCGUAGCCGACCUGAGAGGGUGAUCGGCCACACUGGGACUGAGACACGGCCCAGACUCCUACGGGAGGCAGCAGUAGGGAAUCUUCCGCAAUGGACGAAAGUCUGACGGAGCAACGCCGCGUGAGUGAUGAAGGCUUUCGGGUCGUAAAACUCUGUUGUUAGGGAAGAACAAGUGCUAGUUGAAUAAGCUGGCACCUUGACGGUACCUAACCAGAAAGCCACGGCUAACUACGUGCCAGCAGCCGCGGUAAUACGUAGGUGGCAAGCGUUAUCCGGAAUUAUUGGGCGUAAAGCGCGCGCAGGUGGUUUCUUAAGUCUGAUGUGAAAGCCCACGGCUCAACCGUGGAGGGUCAUUGGAAACUGGGAGACUUGAGUGCAAAAGAGGAAAGUGGAAUUCCAUGUGUAGCGGUGAAAUGCGUAGAGAUAUGGAGGAACACCAGUGGCGAAGGCGACUUUCUGGUCUGUAACUGACACUGAGGCGCGAAAGCGUGGGGAGCAAACAGAAUUAGAUACCCUGGUAGUCCAC